UACGGGGGGGGCAAGCGUUGUUCGGAAUUACUGGGCGUAAAGGGCUCGUAGGUGGCCAACUAAGUCAGACGUGAAAUCCCUCGGCUUAACCGGGGAACUGCGUCUGAUACUGGAUGGCUUGAGAUUGGGAGAGGGAUGCGGAAUUCCUGGUGUAGCGGUGGAAUGCGCAGAUAUCAGGAGGAACACCAAUAGCGAAGGCAGCUCGCUGGGACGUUACUGACACUGAGGCGCGAAAGCGUGGGGAGCGAACAGG
rnacentral:rRNA from 1 species